GGAGUUCAAAGUCCUCCCUCCUCAGCUGAGGAAACAGAAAGCCUCAUGAGAGUCAAGGUCAAAACUGAGGCAGCCAGAAACCCAAGACCAAGCUGCUUCCAGGGUUGAUUCGCUUGAGAGCUGUCUCCAUUCUUACCCUAAAAAUGUGUUUGAGGCCAGCAUAAGCUACAUGAGACCCU